UGGACGGAUGGAUGGAGGGAGGGAUGUUGACGGACAGAUGGAGGGAGGGAUGUUAAUGGACGGAUAGAGGGGAUGAAGGGACGGCCAGUCCACCACGAAACAAGGAUGAAACCCUAGAUGCAAAUCAGGCUCCGAGUCAACUUAUGGGAAUUCUUUGAUGAAAACAUAUAUUCAUAAAAUGAGUCACAAAGGCCCUUGCACUUUUCAUUUUCAAUCUGCAUUUGUAAACAUCUUCACUCAGUUUUGCUUUGUACAGGGACGUCUUCUAACUUUUAAUUUCAAGCUCAAAACAUGAGGGCUGUUAUUCUGGCCCACUUUUUUUUCUUGGAAAAGAUAGGAAGCUCUUCGCCAAAAGAAAAAUAAGUCACAAGCUUAAUAAAUAAUGAAGCACAAAGCAAACCACUCAUGCUCAAUUUUUCAUACUUCUAUGAAUAUUUCAGCAAAUAAUAGAUGGCCUUAGAAGACUAUCAUAAGGCUGGCAGGGACCCGGAGCUGGGGACAGCCACCUUCUUUUCUCAACCCUCUUGAUGUCAUUUGUGUAAAAUUAAUGCAGGAGUUGGUUUCAUUUUCUAAUUCAUCGAGAAAGGAUAUUUCUAUUCAGAAUGACAUCUUCCAGUUACCCAUCCAAGACUUCGGUGGUGUGGGGCAGGGGAGCCCCCAAGUGGGGCUGAGCCCCGACGGUUCUUGGCUUUGCCCUGGAGAGAAUUCAAGGGCAAGCCGCAGGUAGAAGGAAAGAGCUUUAUUCGGGCGACCGUGCCACAGCUCACAGCUCCCUGACUGCUCCUGCAGCGGGGCCGCCCCAUAGGCAGAGAGCAGCCGCUUGGGGCAGUUUUGCAGUCACACUUAUACCGCUUUUAAUUGCAUGCAGAUUAAGGGGCGAUUUAUGCAGAAAUUUCUAGGGAAGGGGUAGUAACUUUUGGGUCAUUGAGUCACUGCCAUAGAAGGGGGCGGUAACACCCGGUUGUUGCUAUGGCAACGGAAAACUGACAGGCACUCGGGUGGGCGAGGCUUAGGGAAAGCUGCUUCCGCGAGCGCUGCUUUAACUAGUCAAUCCUGUCCGGAGUCCAAGUACUACCUCUGGAGUCGACUCCCACCUCAAACUCACUAGAAUGAUGGCGUCCCAGUCCUCUCUCAGAAGACGUCCAUCAGCAACAUGAUUCUGUCCUCCCAGCCAAGCUGGCAGCUCCCGGAGCCCCUGGCCUAUCGCGGGUCUCCCGGGCUGUGCAGGCCGUGCAGGGACUGUGAGCCCUCCUCACGCGGAGGAAGCAGAGGGGGCUGGACCUGCCUGCCUGGCACAUGCACGUGGAGAGGCCGACUGCUGUGCACACUCACGCAGGCACACACACACUUGCUCACACACACUGAACUCAUGCUCACACAUGCCCGUCAGGCUCACACUCACACUCGCUCAUCCGUGCACUGACACUCAUACACGGCCAGCGUCCUAAGGCGGAAGAGUGAAGGAGAAAGGCCUGCACUCCAAGGCUGGACUGCAAGUGCAGCGGGGGGCAGCAGCGUUUGGGAAGAGCUGUCACCUGUCCAGGGAAUGCCCCUCGGGAUGGCACCACGCUGGUGGCUCUGACACACACGGUGACCAGGGAGGGCUGAGGUGGGAGCGCGUUCUGGCUGAACCACGUGGGAGGCAGCAUCUGGGGACGAGGCCUCGCAGUCUGUGACCAGUGACCCUUGGCCGAGCGUGAGGACGGCUGUGUCCCCGGGCUGCAGCAGCCACGCACCACCACCACCUCCCCCGAGCCCCUCACACACCCUGUCCACAACCCCAUUCAUGGCACCCUCGUCAGUGGUGGGGCGAUCGUCCCCUUGGGUCCAAUCUGGACUCUGGGGCCGAGGCCACCGGACGCCAAGGCCACCCGUUGGCUCCAGGCCGGCACCUGUUCUCAGAAGAGAUCUUGCCUUUGCCAAGGCUGGCCCUGGCCUCGGGCCUGAGACAAGAGCCCAAGUGGGAGUUGACUGGGGGGGGGCCUGUGGGGCACUGGAGGGGUGGGGAUGUCAGGAGAAAGAAGGUGACCGCCUGGGAGCCUCAGCGAGGCCUGGACGGGGGACGGGCAGAGGAGCCUCCUUAGUCCCCAUCCAGGCGAGAAAGCCCUGGCCUCGACCCAGGUGCCCACCUGCCCUGGGGGCCUGAUUGCGGGUCCCCACCUGCAUGCAGGGCGUCCUCCGUAUGGCUGCCAGUUUGGGGCAUGGCGAGGGCCCAGGGACCUGUCUGACUCAAAUUCCUGGCGGGAGCCAGGUUUGAGGCACACAGGAGCCUCGGUGCUGAGUGGGGGGCAGGUCGGCCCAGGUGACAUCACACCCACCCUUGUGUGAACCACCAGGAGGAGCCGGGGAGGAUAAGGACAAAAGAUCAUCCCUGGGGCAAUGAAGCCCGGAAGGUGCCGGCAUGUCUGUGCCUGGGGUGGGUCCACCCUGACUCCCAGGGGCUGGCGAUGAGUGUCCGGGAGGAGAGCCCUUGGCCUCAGUGUGCACUGACACCAAGGUGGCUGCGCCUCUUUGGCUUAUUCAGACAGCAGGACAUGUCAGAGGAGAGGCUUCAGUUCGGGUUGCCUUUCAAGCAGCAACAUCAGAAAUGCCCCGUCUCUCCUGUUCUGAGGGAUCAGGAGGGUCUAGACCAAAUGGCGGUUCCCCACCCAGGACAGCCUCUGUCCCUCUGGGAAGGAGAGGUCGCCUUGGUCAGAAUCCCACCCUCACCUGGCCAGCCCAAGUCUCCCCUGGGACAGGAGGAGUGGAGGCCACCCCUUUCCAGACCCUGAUUGAAAUGCCAGCUGGGAAGGGAGACUGGCAUCCCUGGAGUGUGGUGGCCCCCAGGAGAGAUGCACCCAGCCAGGUGGUGAGCGGAGAUGGUACUGCAGGCACACUGGGCAGGUGAGGCCCAGGAGUCCUGGUCCAGGCAUGUUGCCUCCAGUGCCCACCUGUCGGUCUGUGCAGGAGGCCAGGAUGCCCUGCAGGGGGGAUUGGGUGGGGAGGAGCAAAGGGAGAGGAGGGCAUCGCUGUGGCCCUCGACAGCCUGGGGGUCUCCACCAGAGUUGGCGAGGCCGGUGCUCCAGGAGUAGCCGCGUCACCCCCUGCCUCCCCCUGCAGAGCUAUUCUGCACCUCCCGAUCCCCGAAAUGCGGCGCAGAGGCUGCCGUGUGCCUCAAAGACCAGCUCCCACCUGGGAGAUUCAGGUCAGACAGACCCCUGGGCCCUCACCAUGCCCGGAGCUGGUGACUGUUCAGAGAAGGUCCUACAUGCAGGCGGGCCCCCUGUGCUGGCCCACAGGCUCCAGGGACCCGUGACCAGGAGAUGCUGAGCUCAGCGUGUGGUGGUGUGAACAUCUGUCAAGUAAGUAAAGGCACGAGGGGAAGAGGAACCCGUCAGAGGACGGGGGUCCAGGGUCAGGCAGGGGAUGGCGCCACAAGGACUGAGGGAGGGAGGAUGCUGGAAUCCCGCUGCCGUGGGAAAUUAACCUGAGCAGCUCUUCAAGAGGAGGAGACCUCGGGCCAGUGCCUGGAGAACUGGCGUGGAGCCUGGGGCUGCGUUUCAGCCAUGUCCUGGGCAAGGCUCAGAGCAGCUGGCUCUGCAGGGACCUUGGCCACGGCUUCCUCCUGCUGCUCCCCAGUCUCGCUGCCUCCUUCCGGAAGGUGCACAAGUGACCCCCCAAAGUGCUCCCUAAAGGUGACCCUGGGCUCAGGAGCAGGAGCUCCUGGGUCCUCCCACUCGCCUUCCAAAGGGCCCUGCCCAGCCUGGUGUCAGCAGGUAUCCCAGGGGGAGGGCCCCACGGCUCCACACAGCCUGUCACGUGGCUGUGUGCAAGCCGGGGAGGUCACUGUGACGUCCCGAUUUAGUUUCCAACUUCGCUGGUAGAGUUGUGACAUUUUCUCUCAAAUCACUGCAUCCUGCCACAGCUGACUGAUCUAGCAUUUAAACAGCCGCCCGCUGUGUCCUGGUGCUCAGAGGAUAGGGCCUGCCUGUUCAAUACCUAGACUGUGAGCACACGGGGCGCAGAGAGGCCCUUCAGAGCAGGACGCCUAAAAUAGCACCACCGGUGCCCUGCAGGAGCAGACCUGCCCGACUCUUCCUGAGCACAAGGAAGGGCAGUCGCCCCGACACCCUGUCAAACUGAAUGUUUAAAGCUCUGAUGUGAGCCACACACGCAGCCUCCGUGCUCGGGGCCUCGCUGUCAACCCACAGGUCUGGGCACCAACAUGUCCUAAAGUCCUGCCAGGUGUCGCGUCCUGCCUGCCCCACACCCCAGGUCCUGUGGGCGUCCCCAGCACAUCCCUCCCCAGCUUUGUAGCUGUCCUGAUGGGUGCGGGACUCCCUGCUGCAGCCCCUAGACACAGGCAGGACCCUUGAUGUCGGUGGGGUCUCUGAUUUGUGGACGGAGAGAUCCAGCCUCAGUGGUCAGGUAAGGGGUCUGCGUUCAUCCAGGAAGGAAGGGACCAAAUGGGAGCUGAGCCCACUGGACCUGCCACCAGCCCGCAGUGACCCCUGGGGGCCUGAGCUAGGGACGCAGGAGUCCACCUGCCCCCAGCACACUGCAUGCGGAGCUCUGCCCUGUUUGUGGAAACGAGGAGGGCUGGCCUCCUGGGACGGCAGAGAGGGACCCCCACUUCAGAGUGGUGGGGGAAGGAGGGGCGAGGGCCCUGGGGUGUCCUCCUUCAGUCCUCAGAUGAGGCCGCAGCGCCUUCAGAGACGAAAUCCUCCCUCGGUCUUCAGAUGAGACCCAGCACCUUCAGAGACGGGAUCCUCCCUCAGUCCUCACAUGAGACCCAGCGCCUUCAGAGACGGGAUCCUCCCUCGGUCCUCAGAUGAGGCCACAGCGCCUUCAGAGACGGGAUAUUUGAUGUAGGAUGUGGCAGAGGGGCUUUCACAAGCCUGUUGGUGAACACAGGUGUUAGCAGUGACCAGCCAGAGAGACAAGGGGAGGGAAGAAGAAAUGAGUUCUCCCAUACAGCCCACCUCCUCCACUGCCCACACGGCCAUUCCCUGCUCUCACCAGUGUCCCCAGGCGUCUGCGGUUUGGAGUGGAACCUACUAUGCCUGCUGGUUCACUAUUUUCUCAGAGCUGUUUAAAAAGAAAAAAAGAAAACAAAUGACCACAACGAAACUGCUAAACCACCUGAUAAUUAAAGCAAGAAAAACAAAUCAAAGAAAAUGUCAAUGCACAAAAUUAGGACUGGGAACGUGAGACUGACCACAGACAGAGAGAAUUAAAGUGCUUGAUCCUCAGAUCCUCGGAUAAUGUUUUGCACAACUCUUUGCUAAUGAUUUGAAGUUAGGAGGCAAUGCAGCUUUUAAGGAAAAUUAAGAUGGGCAGGGUGGACUUGUGGAUAGCCCAGUGACUGUGGAUAAACUGGGAGAGCUCUGGGUGAGACCAGAGUUGAAGAGAGGUCCGUGGAUCUCACUUCCCCAGCAGGGCGUCCACAGCCAUCUCAAGAGGAUGCAUCCUUCCUCCAUGGGACUCCGGGAUUCUCUGGCUUUCCAGGGCCUGCAUUUCAGAGGGCAGGCUUCUCCUGCCCUGCCACACCCUGCAGUACCUGCACCUGCACCCCUUCCUGCAUGCCACCCUCUCUCCCUGCACACCUCAGCUGGGAGGGAGGAGAAAGAACAGAGUGAGUGAUCCCUAUUUGUGGGAUUUCAGGACAUUGGCAAAAGCUUCCAUUCCAAAUAAAGUAUCCA